CCUAUACAUGCAAGUCGAACGAGUUCUGAUUAUUGAAAGGUGCUUGCAUCUUGAUUUAAUUUUGAACGAGUGGCGGACGGGUGAGUAACACGUGGGUAACCUGCCCUUAAGUGGGGGAUAACAUUUGGAAACAGAUGCUAAUACCGCAUAAAUCCAAGAACCGCAUGGUUCUUGGCUGAAAGAUGGCGUAAGCUAUCGCUUUUGGAUGGACCCGCGGCGUAUUAGCUAGUUGGUGAGGUAACGGCUCACCAAGGCAAUGAUACGUAGCCGAACUGAGAGGUUGAUCGGCCACAUUGGGACUGAGACACGGCCCAAACUCCUACGGGAAGCAGCAGUAGGGAAUCUUCCACAAUGGACGCAAGUCUGAUGGAGCAACGCCGCGUGAGUGAAGAAGGCUUUCGGGUCGUAAAACUCUGUUGUUGGAGAAGAAUGGUCGGCAGAGUAACUGUUGUCGGCGUGACGGUAUCCAACCAGAAAGCCACGGCUAACUACGUGCCAGCAGCCGCGGUAAUACGUAGGUGGCAAGCGUUAUCCGGAUUUAUUGGGCGUAAAGCGAGCGCAGGCGGUUUUUUAAGUCUGAUGUGAAAGCCCUCGGCUUAACCGAGGAAGUGCAUCGGAAACUGGGAAACUUGAGUGCAGAAGAGGACAGUGGAACUCCAUGUGUAGCGGUGAAAUGCGUAGAUAUAUGGAAGAACACCAGUGGCGAAGGCGGCUGUCUGGUCUGUAACUGACGCUGAGGCUCGAAAGCAUGGGUAGCGAACAGGAUUAGAUACCCUGGUAGUCCAUGCCGUAAACGAUGAAUGCUAGGUGUUGGAGGGUUUCCGCCCUUCAGUGCCGCAGCUAACGCAUUAAGCAUUCCGCCUGGGGAGUACGACCGCAAGGUUGAAACUCAAAGGAAUUGACGGGGGCCCGCACAAGCGGUGGAGCAUGUGGUUUAAUUCGAAGCAACGCGAAGAACCUUACCAGGUCUUGACAUCUUUUGAUCACCUGAGAGAUCAGGUUUCCCCUUCGGGGGCAAAAUGACAGGUGGGUGCAUGGUUGUCGUCAGCUCGUGUCGUGAGAUGUUGGGGUUAAGUCCCGCAACGAGCGCAACCCUUAUGACUAGUUGCCAGCAUUUAGUUGGGCACUCUAGUAAGACUGCCGGUGACAAACCGGAGGAAAGGGGGGGGAUGACGUCAAAUCAUCAUGCCCCUUAUGACCUGGGCUACACACGUGCUACAAUGGAUGGUACAACGAGUUGCGAGACCGCGAGGUCAAGCUAAUCUCUUAAAGCCAUUCUCAGUUCGGACUGUAGGCUGCAACUCGCCUACACGAAGUCGGAAUCGCUAGUAAUCGCGGAUCAGCACGCCGCGGUGAAUACGUUCCCGGGCCUUGUACACACCGCCCGUCACACCAUGAGAGUUUGUAACACCCGAAGCCGGUGGCGUAACCCUUUUAGGGAGCGAGCCGUCUAAGG
rnacentral:rRNA from 2 species